rnacentral:rRNA from 1 species
UGGGGAAUUUUGGACAAUGGGGGAAACCCUGAUCCAGCCAUCCCGCGUGCGAUGAAGGCCUUCGGGUUGUAAAGCACUUUUGGCAGGAAAGAAACGUCGCGGGUUAAUACCCCGCGAAACUGACGGUACCUGCAGAAUAAGCACCGGCUAACUACGUGCCAGCAGCCGCGGUAAUACGUAGGGUGCAAGCGUUAAUCGGAAUUACUGGGCGUAAAGCGUGCGCAGGCGGUUCGGAAAGAAAGAUGUGAAAUCCCAGAGCUUAACUUUGGAACUGCAUUUUUAACUACCGGGCUAGAGUGUGUCAGAGGGAGGUGGAAUUCCGCGUGUAGCAGUGAAAUGCGUAGAUAUGCGGAGGAACACCGAUGGCGAAGGCAGCCUCCUGGGAUAACACUGACGCUCAUGCACGAAAGCGUGGGGAGCAAACAGGAUUAGAUACCCUGGUAGUCCACGCCCUAAACGAUGUCAACUAGCUGUUGGGGCCUUCGGGCCUUGGUAGCGCAGCUAACGCGUGAAGUUGACCGCCUGGGGAGUACGGUCGCAAGAUUAAAACUCAAAUGAAUUGACGGGGUCAUAGCUG